rnacentral:tRNA from 3 species
GGGGCUAUAGCUCAGCUGGGAGAGCGCUUGCAUGGCAUGCAAGAGGUCGUCGGUUCGAUCCCGUCUAGCUCCACCA